GUCUUUCUCGCGCACCCUCAGGAGGUGUUGCAGGGGGAGAGGAGCGCGGGUGGGUGGGACCGGGCCUGGUGGGGGAGGGGUGAGGGCGAGGAGGAGGAGGAGGCGGCGGCGGCGGAGGAGUGGUGUGUGUGCGAGCGUGUGUGGCUGGGGGAAGCCAUUGCCUGUUUAAUAGUUGCUGUUGCUGCACUUCCGCUUCUCUCCCAGCGAGAGAGAGACACGAGUGGCCAGGCCCAGCCGCAGCCGCAGCAGCAGCCGCCGCGGCGGCACGGAGGAGCCAGACACAAAGAGAGGUACGGGGAUCCCCCCAGCGGCCCGCCGCCCCCCGGCCGCGCCGCCGGCCUCGGGGACACCCCUCGCCGCCGUCCCCGACCCGCACCGCCCCGGCCGCCGGGGCGCCGGACACGGGGCCGGGGGAGGGGUGGUGGCGGAGAGGGGCUGGGGAGCCCCAGGGGUCCCGGGCCCGCCCGCGGGGGAUGGGCAGGGACCCCGGGCCGCGUGGGUUGCGGGGGCCGCCCGCGUCGGGGCUGGGGGUCAUUGUGGCUCGAACUGUCAGCGCUGCCCCAGGAGCCCCCCCACUGGCCGCCGAGGGGGCCGGGAGCGGGGGUGGGGGGGAGUUGGGGGAGCCCUGUUUUCCCCAGGGGCGCGGGCUCCUGGGGAUUUACCCCUCCGGGGCGGAAGGGCUCAUUGUUAUUUCUUCGCUGCGGAGGCCGAGCCCCCCCCACCCCACGCCGCAGCCCCUAUCCCCCUCCACGAGUGGCGAACGGGCGUGUGCUCCGGACCCCCGCCCGGCCGCGCAGCCCUGAGCCUGGCGGCCCAGAGGCAGGCCGCCCCCGGGAGGGGCGUCGGGGCGCGGCGCGGGUGGGGGGGGGGCUCGGGCCUCGUCGCCCCUACCCCCCGCCGGCCUCUCCCUUCCCCCACCCGGGCACCCGUUCCCCGCCUCCGUCCCCCUGUUUCGGCUUCCUCUCUUACUCCUUCCCGCCCCUCCUCUCUUCCCGACCUCGCCAAACUCCGUUCGUGGCCCCACAGUCUCACCCGGGCCACCGGUCCCCCACGACCCCCGGAAAGCGGACAAAAACAGCCCCGAGGCCGGCCGGCCGCCGGGACCUUCCCUCCCUGCCCGGCCGCGGCGCCCCGCGCCCCCACCCUGCCCUCCUUCGCCUCCUGGUUACUCCCUCCUUGCCCUGCGGAGAGCCCCGGGGGGUGAGGGAGGGGCUGCUCUCCGAGCUCCAGACCGUUUUCCCACCGCGUUCCCUACUUGGGGCCAAAAAUAAACAAACAAGCCGCGUCCGAUUUGCAAAAGCCUUAAUGGGCCUGCAGACUUUGAAAAGCGAGUGGAGGGCGGUGGGCGGCCGCGUGCGCCCCUGGUCAAUGCCCUCCUGA
rnacentral:lncRNA from 13 species